CUCUGAGAAGAAUUCAUAGACCUAUAUGGGAAUAAACUUCUCACACAUCUGAAAGAACUUCAAGAUUUCCCAGUAAUUCUUGCCAGAAAAGUAGCCAAACCAAAAUCAUCUUCAGGCCUUUCAAAUAGAUUUAGUACAACAAUCCAGAUUGGUCCCCCAUACUCACAAGCUAUCGAACUAAAGACAUGAUCCAAUGAAAUAAAACCACUUCUUAGCACAUACAUAACAAAAAGCACCACAGCUACAGGAUCUCUUUUGUUUGUGUCAUUUGAAGAACACAUCGUGCCUAUUGUCAAUAUCCAGCAACAAUCUUUGGGCCAAAUAUUCCAUGUGCAAGCUCAAUUGUUAAUAUCCAAUGAAACUCAACGAUUAUGUGUUUUACUCUGCUCCGACUGCAAGUAAAUCUUUCCAAGGAAUUGGUCACAGAGAAGAUUCUAUUGUACAACCUACCGUCGAUCAACACAUCUCACACCCAGAUGCCAGUUCGAAGUAACCAUCCAAAAUGGUACUGGAUCAACAACAGCUAUGAUUUCAAACAAAAUUGGAGAAGAACUAUUGUCUUUCACUGUGGCAGAAAUUCAUGAAAUAUGUUGCAUCAAGAAACAAUUGUUGACAGCCAUACCCGUGCUGCACAAACUGCUAGGGAAGACAUUCACUAUCCAAAUAAAGAAGUUGUUCACAAAAAACAAGGAUGCAUCUUCAGCAAAAUUGUUCAUCAUGUCAAUCACCGAAAAAGAUAUUGCUAGCAACCUGCCAUUGCCACUCACUGCACCAACAACUCCAGAAAGCAGCAAACACAAGCUGAAGCAAAUCACGAGAAAGGAAGACUAAAGUAUAUACUACUUUUUUUGCGAUAUGAUUGGCACCACCCUUUUGUCUACUCAACUACUAUAAAUGUUGAUGGCGCACACUUUUGCUGUUGAUAGCGUGGACUUUGCCGCUACUUCUUGGAAACUAUACUUUCUGGCGCUGAAUAACGUUGAAAAACAGUCAAAAUGCAGCAUUAUGUAAAUAUCCAAUGUAAGCAACAGUCAUGACAACAAACAAAACAACUGCCACCCAUAUUUAUAA